rnacentral:snRNA from 1 species
GUGCUCGCUUCAGCAGCACAUAUACUAACAUU